GGAGGGUGCAAGCGUUAUCCGGAUUUAUUGGGUUUAAAGGGUCCGUAGGCGGACCUGUAAGUCAGUGGUGAAAUCUCGCAGCUCAACUGUGAAACUGCCAUUGAUACUGCAGGUCUUGAGUAAAUUUGAAGUGGCUGGAAUNAGUNGUGUAGCGGUGAAAUGCAUAGAUAUUACUUAGAACACCNAUUGCGAAGGCAGGUCACUAAGAUUUAACUGACGCUGAUGGACGAAAGCGUGGGGNGCGAACAGGAUUAGAUACCCUGGUAGUCCACGCCGUANACGAAAGCCGA
rnacentral:rRNA from 1 species